GAGGGUGUAGCUCAGUGAUAGAGCAUGUGCUUAGCAUGCACGAGGUCCUGGGUUCAAUCCCUAGUACCUCCA
rfam:Camelus ferus unplaced genomic scaffold scaffold1862, whole genome shotgun sequence.